UACGUAGGUGGCAAGCGUUACUCGGAAUCACUGGGCGUAAAGCGCAGGUAGGCGGUUUGAUAAGUCUGUUGUGAAAGCUCCCGGCUUAACUGGGAGAGGUCAACGGAAACUGUCAGGCUAGAGUGUGGUAGAGGUAGCUGGAAUUCCCGGUGUAGCGGUGAAAUGCGUAGAUAUCGGGAGGAAUACCUAUGGCGAAAGCAGGCUACUGGACCGGUACUGACGCUGAUGCGCGAAAGCGUGGGGAGCAAACGGG
rnacentral:rRNA from 1 species